rnacentral:rRNA from 1 species
CAAUAGCGUAUAUUAAAGUUGUUGCGGUAAAAAAGCUCGUAGUUGGAUUUCUGUUGAGAGCGACCGGUCCAUACCAUGUAUGCGUAUCUGGCUUGCUCUCGGCAUCCUCUCGAUAGACGUUACUGCGCUUGAUUGCGUGGUGCGGAUCUCGGGACUUUUACUUUGAGGAAAUUAGAGUGUUCACGGCAGGCUUUCGCCAGAAUACAUUAGCAUGGAAUAAUACUAUAGGAUCCUGGUUCUAUUUUGUUGGUUUCUAGAAUUGAGAUAAUGAUUAAUAGGGACAAUUGGGGGCAUUCGUAUCAACACGUCAGAGGUGGAAUUCUUGGAUUGUGUUGCGACGAACUACUGCGAAAGCAUUUGCCAAGGAUGUUUUCAUUGA